UACGUAGGGUGCGAGCGUUGUCCGGAAUUAUUGGGCGUAAAGGGCUCGUAGGCGGUCUGUCACGUCGGGAGUGAAAACUCAGGGCUUAACCCUGAGCCUGCUUCCGAUACGGGCAGACUAGAGGUAUGCAGGGGAGAACGGAAUUCCUGGUGUAGCGGUGAAAUGCGCAGAUAUCAGGAGGAACACCGGUGGCGAAGGCGGGUCUCUGGGCCGAUACUGACACUGAGGAGCGAAAGCGUGGGGAGCGAACAGG
rnacentral:rRNA from 1 species